GGGGAUGAGGGCAAUCUGGCUGUGACAUCUGUCACCCCAUUGAUUGUCAGGGUUGAUUGGCUGAUGUGGCUGGCUAAGCGGGUGUCCCCUUCUUCCCUCACCAUUGCAUGUGUGUCCCUGGCAACCAUCCCAUCCCUGAUGGAGGAGGUCAAGUGUAUACGAGUAGCUGCGCUCCCCUGCUAGAACCCCAAACAAGCUCUCAAGAGUGGUCUGGGAACUUCUGGGUGUGUGUACCUCAAAAUACUGAAAGUAGAGUCUCAGCAGAUAUCUGAACACCUGUGUUGA
rnacentral:snRNA from 1 species